AGUAACCAACAGUUAGAGAGGGAGAAAUCGUCUGAUUGACAAAGGGUUUAGUCUGAAUCGUCUGAUUGAGUGCGCAGAUCAAAGUGUGCGGCCAGAGGAAGAGAAAUUGGGAAGACGAACUGCAGAAACAUGAGGAUUUACCAAUGGAGCUAUGGAGAGAGGUUUUGGCAAAGCUACCUUCGAAAACCCUACUCUAAUUCAGUGGCACAUUGCAUAUUAUGGAGUAUUAGAAGUCAAAGUUGGUGGCCGGGGGCGGUGGAGGAUCAUCUGCUUUUGGUUACUUUAGCCAAGAUUACUUACCACAUUUGCUGACAACCUUAUGGCGGAGAGGUUCAACACGCGGAAAAUAAUCAUUGGAGAAGCACUCCAUGGGGCUUUCUAAGGCCCGACUGCGCAUGGACGAGUAAUCUUUCAUGUCUCCAAACAAGAACUGUGAUGCAGAUUGCAGGAGUAGAAUGCGAAAUUGGUGGCUGGUAGAAGAUCAUCUCCUUUUUUUUAUUCCAAGGAAAGAAGGCUCUUAUAUUUAUUGAGGUUUAUGCAAGCCUGUUUCAGUUAGCUGAUUUGGUCAUGGUGGUUCUCUUGAUUAGUUCAACAAAAUUGGAAGAUGUAGACCUGUACAUUGCAGGGAGUUGAGCUGGCAGAUGCUUGGUUACAGGUUCUAUUGUAUGUAGUCUUGUUUUCAAUUCAGGUUCAGCGCUUGACUAUGGAGUUGGUGUGUGCUCUCUCCUGGUUUGUUGUUAUUCUGGUUAUCACAAGGAAGGUUGAGUUGAAGUGUUGAUUAUGUAGGUGAACUUCAGAGUUGUGCUGCAGUUGUAUUUUGUUUGUUAGGUUUUGUGUUGUUUUUUGUUUAGUCUUGUUGUUUUAAGCCUAGUGGCCUAUUUGGUAGUGGAAAUGAUACUUUCCAUGUUCUUGUAUAUACUUUUUGGGUUUAAUACAAAGAAAUCGGCAACGUAUUAGUUGCUGAGUAUUUUUUUUCCAA